rnacentral:rRNA from 1 species
AUUGAACGCUGGCGGCAGGCCUAACACAUGCAAGUCGAGCGGAUGAGUGGAGCUUGCUCCAUGAUUCAGCGGCGGACGGGUGAGUAAUGCCUAGGAAUCUGCCUGGUAGUGGGGGACAACGUUUCGCAAGGAACGCUAAUACCGCAUACGUCCUACGGGAGAAAGCAGGGGACCUUCGGGCCUUGCGCUAUCAGAUGAGCCUAGGUCGGAUUAGCUAGUAGGUGAGGUAAUGGCUCACCUAGGCGACGAUCCGUAACUGGUCUGAGAGGAUGAUCAGUCACACUGGAACUGAGACACGGUCCAGACUCCUACGGGAGGCAGCAGUGGGGAAUAUUGGACAAUGGGCGAAAGCCUGAUCCAGCCAUGCCGCGUGUGUGAAGAAGGUCUUCGGAUUGUAAAGCACUUUAAGUUGGGAGGAAGGGCAGUAAGUUAAUACCUUGCUGUUUUGACGUUACCAACAGAAUAAGCACCGGCUAACUUCGUGCCAGCCGCCGCCGCAGUAA